GCCCAGCACAGUGGCCUGCACCUGUAGUCCCAGCUACUGGGGAGGCUGAGGCAGAAGGAUAGCUAGAGUUCUGGGCUGCAGGGCCCUAUGUUGACAGGGUGGCCUCACUAAAUUUGGCAUGGAUAUGGUGACCGCCCAGGAGGGGAAGACCACCAGGUUGCCUAAGGAGGGGUGAACCAGCCCAGGUCAAAAUGGAGCAGGUCAAAACCUCCAUGCUGAUCAGGAAUUCAGUCUUAAUAAGAUCAAUAAUGUAUUAUUUGUUUAAUAAUCAGACUUGC
rfam:Canis lupus familiaris chromosome 31, whole genome shotgun sequence.